rnacentral:rRNA from 2 species
GCCUGGCGGCACUAGCGCGGUGGUCCCACCUGACCCCAUGCCGAACUCAGAAGUGAAACGCCGUAGCGCCGAUGGUAGUGUGGGGUCUCCCCAUGUGAGAGUAGGGAACUGCCAGGCA